CCUACGGGUGGCUGCAGUGAGGAAUAUUGGUCAAUGGACGAGAGUCUGAACCAGCCAAGUAGCGUGAAGGAUGACUGCCCUAUGGGUUGUAAACUUCUUUUAUAUGGGAAUAAAAUGUUCCACGUGUGGGAUUUUGUAUGUACCAUAUGAAUAAGGAUCGGCUAACUCCGUGCCAGCAGCCGCGGUAAGACGGAGGUUCCGAGCGUUAUCCGGAUUUAUUGGGUUUAAAGGGAGCGUAGGUGGAUUGUUAAGUCAGUUGUGAAAGUUUGCGGCUCAACCGUAAAAUUGCAGUUGAAACUGGCAGUCUUGAGGACAGUAGAGGUGGGCGGAAUUCGAGGUGUAGCGGUGAAAUGCGUAGAUAUCUCGAAGAACUCCAGUUGCGAAAGCAGCUCACUGGACUGCAACUGACACUGAGGCUCGAAAGUGUGGGUAGCAAACAGGAUUAGAUACCCUUGUAGUC
rnacentral:rRNA from 1 species